UGCACUUUUUGGUAAGAAGAUGUUAUCAAAAGUUGUUCGUCAUGAUGAGGGCUACAACUUUGCUUAAUAUCCUUUUAACAAAUUAUGCGUAUUUAAGGAGAUAGGGCUGCGCAUGCGCAGAACGUAUCUCCCUAGCUUUGCACUUUUUGGUAAGAAGAUGUUAACAAAAGUUGUUCGUCAUGAUGAGGGCUACAACUUUGCUUAAUAUCCUUUUAACAAAUUAUGCG
rnacentral:miRNA from 1 species